rnacentral:rRNA from 1 species
GACGAACGCUGGCGGCGUGCUUAACACAUGCAAGUCGAGCGGUAAGGCCCUUCGGGGUACACGAGCGGCGAACGGGUGAGUAACACGUGAGUAAUCUGCCCAUCACUUCGGGAUAACUCCGGGAAACCGGUGCUAAUACCGAAUAUGACCACUUCAGGCAUCUGAUGGUGGUGGAAAGUUCCGGCGGUGAUGGAUGAGCUCGCGGCCUAUCAGCUUGUUGGUGGGGUAGUGGCCUACCAAGGCUUCGACGGGUAGCCGGCCUGAGAGGGUGACCGGCCACACUGGGACUGAGAAACGGCCCAGACUCCUACGGGAGGCAGCAGUGGGGAAUAUUGGACAAUGGGCGAAAGCCUGAUCCAGCAACGCCGCGUGAGGGAUGACGGCCUUCGGGUUGUAAACCUCUUUCAGCAGGGACGAAGCGAAAGUGACGGUACCUGCAGAAGAAGCACCGGCCAACUACGUG